UACGUAGGGUGCGAGCGUUGUCCGGAAUUAUUGGGCGUAAAGGGCUCGUAGGCGGCUUGUCGCGUCUGCUGUGAAAGCCCGGGGCUCAACCCCGGGUCUGCAGUGGAUACGGGCAGGCUAGAGUCCGGCAAGGGAGACUGGAAUUCCUGGUGUAGCGGUGGAAUGCGCAGAUAUCAGGAGGAACACCGAUGGCGAAGGCAGAUCUCUGGGCCGUAACUGACGCUGAGGAGCGAAAGCAUGGGGAGCGAACAGG
rnacentral:rRNA from 1 species